rnacentral:misc_RNA from 1 species
AGCACAUUUUGUCUGAGUGUAUAUUUGACUUUGCACUGUUCUUUUUUUGUUUUUAAUUUCUUAAUUUCUGAGUAAUUAACUUCAACAUUGCUAUUUUUUGAAUAUUUUUUAGCUCAUUUGCUUUUUGAGUAAAUUUCUUUUCUGUGUUUUGGUUUAAUUUCCAUAGUAUUUGGGUAGUUGUAAUUGGGUUUGGAUGUGUUCGUAUAAUUCUAAUCAUGUUUGGG